ensembl:lncRNA
ACGAAAGGUGGACUUGGGCUAAGAGGGCGGAGCGCACAGGUUAGACUUGGGCAAUUUCAGAGCAACUUCGUGGGCACUGAAACCUGAAGUGGCUGCGUUGUGCGGUGUACCAAUGCCCAGUCUGUCCGGGUUAGGACGUGGGCGACGGAUCUGUACCUGUUGACCAAUGAGAACUUGAGAUGCCGUGGGAACCCAGAGAAAACAUGGGUAGGGAGAUCUUCCCGGAAAGGCAGCUCCUAUAUCUAUGUGCUAGAUGAAAUGAGGGAAGAUAAGGGGAGAGUAAAAAGAAUGUAGAAGAAAAAAGAUGGAGAAAAAAGGGAAGAAAAUGAUGAUAAGGAUUUGACUGAGUUGCCCAAGCUGGCUGGAACUUUGGAUCCUCCUGCAUCAGUCUCCCAGAGUGCUGGGAUUCCAGACAUCCACCACCGCACCCAGUGCCACCGCAGCUUAGUCACUUUCUCCUCACUGACACUCACAGGUAUUAAAGCAGGACGGUUUUCUCCUGCCUCCAUUGCAGAGGUCUCAGUCCAUGCAAUCCUUGGCUGGUUCCAAGGGAAAAACAGUAUGCUUGAAGGACCUGGUGGAGGAAAGCUGCUCACAUCAUGGUGUUUGGGAAGCAGAGAGUGAAGGGAGGAGCUGGAGAGGGAGAUGCACUCUUCCGGGUCACAGCUCCAGUGAUCACCUCUAACAAGGCCCCAGCUCCUCACAGCAAGUCAGCUAUGAACUCAUCAGUGGACUCCUGAGAGCAGAGCUCCUGUGACCAGUCAUCUCCUCAAUCCCUGAGGCCCUGGAGGAACACGCCAGACCUAAACCAUAAUGCCACACUUUCAGAUAGAAGGUGAUACACAGGCAAAGGAAACCAAAAAGAGAACAUGACCACAGGGCUGCUGGGACACACAGAGCCUCUCUUGACUUGAGAAAUGAAGAGGAAGGCCAGCCAGGAGUGAGGGAAUGGUUCCCCCUUGGACCAAACAGGCCCAUAUCUGCUGAGAGGAAACUCCUGUGGUACCAGAACUGUCCUGGACAGGUCGUCUCCAAUGGAAAAACCAAACACAUGCAGGAACAAUAUAGAUGUGCAGAAGCCAUUCUUAACAUCUGGAGAACUGGCUCUAAGGCUGGAUGAGUCUGGUGUGGCCAAGAGGCUGCUGGGCAUGGGCAUCUUUGGGAAGAGGCACUGAAGCUCUGUGGACAGGUGUCUCGUCCAAAACUUCGUCCUCAUGCAGUUUCCGUCCCUGAAGUCUCUUCUAAAGGCUGACUCCAAGCCAGGUGUGGUGGUGCAUGCCUGUAAUCCCAGCACUUGGGAGGCUGAGGCAGGAGGAUCACUGUGAAUUCAAGGCUAUGCUGAGCUACAUAGUAAACUCAAGGCCAGCUUGGAGAGCAAAAGAAGACCUUGCCUCAAACAAACAAACAGACAGACAGACAAAUAAAGACUGACUCCCUGUUAUGGGGAAGGGGGCUCUGUGGGCUAACGAACCAGGCUUGAGGUCUUGCUCUGGCAGCUGUAGUGACCCUUUGAAUCAACUCUGUUUUGUCACACAUGUGUCCAUUUUGUGGCAGUUCUCAUUGUUCAAGGUAGUGACAGAACCAAGCAAGUGGCAG